GCCCUUAUAGCUCAGUGGUAGAGCGCGCCACUCGUAAUGGUGAGGUCCGCCGUUCAAUCCGGCGUGGGGGCA